GGAAAACAGGUUAAUAUUCCUGUACUUCUGGUUAUUGCGAUGGAGGGACGGAGAAGGCUAGGCCAGCUUGGCGUUGGUUGUCCAAGUUUAAGGUGGUAGGCUGGAAUCUUAGGUAAAUCCGGGAUUCUAAGGCCGAGAGCUGAUGACGAGUUACCCUUUGGGUGACGAAGUGGUUGAUGCCAUGCUUCCAAGAAAAGCUUCUAAGCUUCAGGUAACCAGGAACCGUACCCCAAACCGACACAGGUGGUUGGGUAGAGAAUACCAAGGCGCUUGAGAGAACUCGGGUGAAGG
rnacentral:rRNA from 1 species